rnacentral:rRNA from 1 species
UACGAAGGGGGCGAGCGUUGUUCGGAUUUACUGGGCGUAAAGGGCGCGCAGGCGGCCGAUCAAGUCAGACGUGAAAGCCCCGGGCUUAACCUGGGAACUGCGUUUGGGACUGGUUUGCUAGAGAUCGGGAGAGGAGAGUGGAAUUCCCAGUGUAGAGGUGAAAUUCGUAGAUAUUGGGAAGAACACCGGUGGCGAAGGCGACUUUCUGGUCUGUAACUGACACUGAGGCGCGAAAGCGUGGGGAGCAAACAGG